rnacentral:rRNA from 1 species
UGCCAGCAGCCGCGGUAAUACGGAGGGUGCAAGCGUUACUCGGAAUUACUGGGCGUAAAGAGCGUGUAGGCGGAUAGAUAAGUUGGAAGUGAAAUCCUAUGGCUCAACCAUAGAACUGCUUCCAAAACUGUCUAUCUAGAAUAUGGGAGAGGUAGAUGGAAUUUCUGGUGUAGGGGUAAAAUCCGUAGAGAUCAGAAGGAAUACCGAUUGCGAAGGCGAUCUACUGGAACAUUAUUGACGCUGAGACGCGAAAGCGUGGGGAGCAAACAGGAUUAGAUA